rnacentral:rRNA from 1 species
UGCUGGUUCUCUAGGGAGCAUGUGCACACUUGUCAUCUUUAUAUAUCCUCCUGUGCACAUUUUGUAGACCUGGAUAUCUUUCUGACGGGCUAACUUUUAGUUGGCACUCAGGUUUUUGAGGAUUGAUUUAUUAGUCUCUCCUUACAUUUCCAGGCCUAUGUCCUCAUACACCCCAAUUAAAGUUAUAGAAUGUAAUUAUUGGGCCUUUGUUGCCUAUAAAAUCUAUACAACUUUCAGCAACGGAUCUCUUGGCUCUCGCAUCGAUGAAGAACGCACCGAAAUGCGAUAAGUAAUGUGAAUUGCAGAAUUCAGUGAAUCAUCGAAUCUUUGAACGCACCUUGCGCUCCUUGGUAUUCCGAGGAGCAUGCCUGUUUGAGUGUCAUUAAUAAUAUCAACCUCAUCUUGUUUGAGUGUUGGAUGUGGGGGUCUAAAUUUUUGCUGGCCGUCUUUUUAAAUAAAGAGGGUCAGCUCCCCUAAAAUGCAUUAGCGGAACGUCUUGUAGACCGUUUAUUGGUGUGAUAACUAUCUACACCAUUAAUGUCAAGUAGUGUUCAGCUUCUAAUAGUCCAUUGACUUGGACAAAAUUUUUUAUUAAUGUGACCUCAAAUCAGGUAGGACUACCCGCUGAACUUAAGCAUAUCAAUAAGCGGAGGAAAAGAAACUAAC